rnacentral:lncRNA from 1 species
CCCUUAGAGGUUAUUUAAGCGUGUGAAUUGGUCACGAAUGCUUAUUGCGUGCUAUUACCCAUCCCGUCCUAUAGAUCCUAGAGGGAACUUAGGAUUGCUAUUCCUAUGAGGUAGGAACUAGGUAGAACCCUUUAAAGGUUAAAAUACUAGGCGACAUUCAAAAACAAAUAGGACUUGCAUGUAUGGGAAUCAUAUAGAUCAUAUAAAAGGCUCAAAUAACCCUAUAUAAGAGAAUGCGUAAGUAGCACGACUCAAACACAUGUAAGGUCUAAGGAAGAGAGAGUUUUAAAAGCUGGAGUGUUGACAAGUAUAUUUAAGAUAGCAGCAGAAAUAGUUUUAAAAAAAAAAACAGAAUUCGCAUAAAAGGUUGG